rnacentral:rRNA from 1 species
UACGUAGGGUGCAAGCGUUGUCCGGAAUUAUUGGGCGUAAAGGGCUCGUAGGCGGUCCAUCGCGUCGGGAGUGAAAAGCUGGGGCUUAACCCCAGUCCUGCUUCCGAUACGGGUGGACUAGAGGUAGGCAGGGGAGAACGGAAUUCCUGGUGUAGCGGUGGAAUGCGCAGAUAUCAGGAGGAAUACCGGUGGCGAAGGCGGCUCUCUGGACCAAUAUUGACGCUGAGAAACGAAAGUGCGGGGAUCAAACAGG